GUGAGCACAAGCGACAACCAACACCAAGCCCGUAGGACCUCUGCAAGCGUGGGAACGACCUCACAGGUCAGCAGAGCUUGCCAGACAGAGGAAGGAGUGCAUCUUGGCAUCCAUCUCUGGCUGUGGGUUCCUGCGGCAUCCACCAAAUGCCUCCAUAGAGUCCUUGCAGCACUCGAGAGGGUCACAACUCUCCACUGCCUCCUGAUGGACACAAGACAAGGUAAGUAGAGAUCACCUUCUGAUAAUGAAAUACAGCUCUCUUACCCCUUUCUAAGGAUCAGGGCAUGUCCAACGCCGCAACCCAGGGAGGUCAGGAAUGACAACAGCACCUGGUGGUGGAGUCUCCAGUCCUGGAAGGAAAGAAGAAGCCUUCAUGUUUGGUGCUGAACAACACGGGUUAGUAAGUAAGAGUGGACAUUCUAGGAACCCCGAGUCAUGCACAGCACUCACCAGCAGCCUGUUUUGAAGCCUACCUCUUCUCUUGGCAUCACAAUUGGUCAAUGCAGAGCAGUCUGCAUUUGGGUCACUGAAACUCCACCGAGGCGCCAACAGGCAACCCAGGGCAGCCUCUCUCCUCAGUUGUUCUGCUCAGGGUCUGGACUCUGCGUACCGUUGGCGCACCACAUCUGCCUGGCCAGAGCGAGACACAGAGGCCAAGGGGAGCUCCUGCUUGGAAAUAGAGGGUGGGAAAGGUGGUGUCAAGUAAGGAGAACACCCUUGGAAAGCCCAGGGAGCAUGAGUACAAACUCACACCAAUUCCAUCGAAUGUCCAGAAGAGCAGGAAUGCUCUCUGGGAGCAACAGACCUUGGCAAACAAGAUCAAGUGUUGAUGUUGGUGUCCAGCGUUGGCUGUGGCUUCCUGCUGUGUCCAUCAAUGUCCUCAGUGGAGUCCUCACAUCUCUUUGAAGAAGUCCUGGUGUCCAGAACCUUCUGCUCAACACUGAACCAAAAACAAGCAGAUCAGCAUCAAGCAAAGAAACAACAACAACUCAGCCCUUCCCAAGCCUCAGCACUCACCCAACCAAACAGCCAGAGCAACCUCUAGGCACAGACCCUUCUCCUUCAGCUGCCAGCCUUUAAAUGAGCUCAGGGUGGGCUCUGGCUCCACCCAGUCCCACUCCACAGGGGAAUUGCUUCCACCUGUGCUCCCUGGGCUGUUCACACCUUAACCAGGUGCUCCAUCACUGCCUCUGGCCCACAGCUAACAGUUCGGACAGAAUCAGAAACAUUAACAGAAUUAGUAACAAAAUACAAGUUGGAAAAAGAAUUAGAAUUGGAAAAAAAAUAGGUAAAGAAUUAUCAAGUAAAGAAGACAUAGAAUUAGUAAAGGAACUGGAAAAAUAAUUGAAAAAGUAUGUAGAAAAGUAAAACGAUUUAGAAAGAGAAAGGGACUUAGAACGAGAAAAAGAAUUAGGGAAGUAUUUAGAAGAAGAAUGAGACAAAGAAAAAGAAUGUGAAAAAGAAAUAGAAAGCAGAUAAUUAAAAGAAUAAUAAAAAGUGGCUGGGAAAAAA
ensembl:lncRNA